AUUGAACGCUGGCGGCAGGCCUAACACAUGCAAGUCGAGCGGAUGAGUGGAGCUUGCUCCACGAUUCAGCGGCGGACGGGUGAGUAAUGCCUAGGAAUCUGCCUGGUAGUGGGGGACAACGUUUCGAAAGGAACGCUAAUACCGCAUACGUCCUACGGGAGAAAGCAGGGGACCUUCGGGCCUUGCGCUAUCAGAUGAGCCUAGGUCGGAUUAGCUAGUUGGUGGGGUAAAGGCCUACCAAGGCGACGAUCCGUAACUGGUCUGAGAGGAUGAUCAGUCACACUGGAACUGAGACACGGUCCAGACUCCUACGGGAGGCAGCAGUGGGGAAUAUUGGACAAUGGGCGAAAGCCUGAUCCAGCCAUGCCGCGUGUGUGAAGAAGGUCUUCGGAUUGUAAAGCACUUUAAGUUGGGAGGAAGGGCAGUAAGUUAAUACCUUGCUGUUUUGACGUUACCAACAGAAUAAGCACCGGCUAACUUCGUGCCAGCCGCCGCCGUAACAC
rnacentral:rRNA from 1 species